ACUUUGAUUUGAGGCAGCUGCUAGAGUACUACGAGCGUGUGCUUAAAACUCAAAGAACUUGGCGGCUCGUUAACUACCCAGGGGAACAUGCGCCUUAAUCCGAUGAUCCACGUUGCAUCUUACUGUACCUUGAAAAAGAGCAGCUGGUGUAUUGCCGUUGUCAGCUUGUUGUUAGAGCAAAGAGAAACAGGCUAAAUGGAGUGAGCAAUGAGUGUUGUUUAUAUCCGUGAAUUCAGGUCGAAAUACUGCCAAUGGUACAAGGGAGUGGGUGUUACAAUUCUUAUUUUGAAUAACGGAUCCUGAAUUGAAUGAAAUUAUCAGGUGAAGGUGGACUUGGGAGUAAGAAAGAAUUAAUAUGUCUUUCUGAACUUGAAUCUAACUUGAGUACAAACCGCCCGUCGCUCUCGCCGGAAGGUGAGAU
rnacentral:rRNA from 1 species